UACAGAGGUGGCAAGCGUUGUUCGGAAUUACUGGGCGUAAAGGGCGCGUAGGCGGUCUUGUAAGUCUCGUGUGAAAUCCCUCGGCUUAACUGAGGAACUGCACGGGAUACUGCAUGACUUGAGGUCGGGAGAGGGAAGCGGAAUUCCGGGUGUAGCGGUGAAAUGCGUAGAUAUCCGGAGGAGCACCGGUGGCGAAGGCGGCUUCCUGGACCGACUCUGACGCUGAGGCGCGAAAGCGUGGGGAGCAAACGGG
rnacentral:rRNA from 1 species